rnacentral:lncRNA from 1 species
CCCACCCCACCAAUAAAAAGGGUUGUAAUUGAGUCCAGCUUCUCAAGGCUAGGUUCAUUCUCUUACUGAUGUUGUGGACAUGUGGUUCUUCUUCAAUGAAUGUGAUGGAUUCUUUUCUGCUAUCGUUGUAAAUGGAGAUGCAAAGGAUCAAGCCAGUCUGCCUUUGUUCAAGUGAGGUCUUGUGCUGGCUGUCCAGGUGUGGUUUCCUUGUUGAUCUUUAGUGCUGAUGUUGCUCAUUGUUGGGGUGGAGUCUGCUUCUGUUCAGCCUCGAAUUGAUGUUGAUGGCUAGCUGCUGGUGUUAUAGCUAUGGUGGAUUCAGUUUGCUGUGGGUUUAGCUGCUGGUAUAAUCAUUGUUGGGGUGUUGGUUUGGUCUAUUCAGAUGUGCGCUUCAGCGUUUUCUUCUAUGCUGUUGUUACUUGGUUAUAUUUGGUGAUUGUUUAGCCCAUUGGUUUCUAGUUUAUGUAAGCUGUAUUUUUUAAAACCUCUAGAGGAGCUACUUGUGGUUCAUCCUGGAUGUGGGUUUUGUUCUGUCUGGCCAUAUGGUCAGACCUAGGUUCUGGUUAGGUUCAUUUGGUUCUUGUUGUUGGUAGGCCAUGUGUCUUUGUGAUUAUCUCUUUGGUAUAUCCGGAGGUCUAUUCUUUUGAUCAAUAUAUUCAAUUUAC